GGUUGAUGGCGGCCAUUCUAACAGGAUUCUUAUGGAUUCAUGACAAACCCAUAAACUUUUGGUGUAGGGGACGAUGCUCCAACCAACUAAGCCACCCGGCCAGGGUGGGAGGCAGACGACUUUAGAAGGACCUAGCCUUGUGAGACUGACAGCAUAACAGACAAGGGGAACAGCAAUUGCAAAGGCCCUGAGAAGGGGCAGAACUUCAAGAAACAAGAAGGCUAGUGAACCUAGAGCAAAUUGUGAACAGAAGCAAGUGGAGGAGAGAUAUAACUCACCAUCAAAUUUACCUUUUAAAAAAAGUAUCUUGGUGAGGAAGAUGGAAAGAAAAGUGCACCUUAUAUGGUUCAUCAGCAGACAUGUUACAGCUUUCUAGAAGCAAUGGUCUCUUGCCAUCUUCAAAGGAUGAUCUGGGCUUCAAAGCCAAGCGUGACGUUUUAGUUUAGGGACCUCUUCCGGCAAACCGCACCCCCAACUCAAGUUAAGGAAUCUUGUCUAAACAGGUCAGUUUAUGUGUGCUGUGUCUUUUUCCACUGCACUUUUGUUUUUCAUCAGCAAACAAAACAUCUUGUUAAACACACAGUGUCUCUUCAGACUUGAGAUCUGAAUCACAGGCAGAUGCCAACCCUGCUGUUCAGUAGCUGUGUGACCUUGCAGAUCAUAUAAAACUUUCUGGGGAAGUGCAGGCAGAAUAAAGGGGGUCAAAUAUAGGGUGCCAGAAGAUCUGACUUGGUGUGGUGGGCACACAAUGCAAUAAAAAUACAGAUGAUGUAUCAUAGAAUUGCACACUCAAAACCUAUAUAAUCUCAUUAACUAAUGUCGCCCCAAUACAUUUAAUUAAAAAAAGACAACUCUGGGAUUCAGUUUCCUCAUGUGGGGCUAUGGAAGGUGCACUCACUAGGUCAGGAGUCUAAGGGUUCAACUUCUGGUUCUGCUACUUUGUUGCUGUCCUAUCCUGGACACGCCUGGCCCGUGAGCUUCGGUUUCUAUAAUGGAGACAAAUCUUAUUAUCAGGGAGAUUGGGAAAGUGAGAUGAGAGAUGUAAAACGUGUCCAGGACACAUUAGUUGUCAAGCCAUGUUAGUGUCUUCUCUUUCCUCUCCACCUUCUUCUUUAUGGUUUUGUUUUGUUUUCUUUUAACUUUGUAAAGCCUGCCUCACAAAGAGGUAGAUCCUCUACCUCUCAGAGUGCUUUAUAAACUGGGGAGGAGAAUAUGUGGUUGGUUCCUCACCAGGCAGACAGGGGCCCAGGUUGUGAAUUUUUCUGACCUCUCUAAAUUGUCCUUGAAUGUCACAGGAGAAUCUGUU